CCUUCUCAAGCUCGGGGAUUUUACCAUCUUCUCAUGAUACCCUCUCCCAGUGCCUCAGUUUCUUCAUUGACCAUACUGACAAUGGGAAAGCUUGCCUUUGCUUGUGCCCAUGGCUGCAUUCAACUCUAACCUUGAAGAAAUGGAUAGGAGCUGAAGGAGAACCCCUGUCGUCUCCCAGCACAAGGAUGGACACGUGACCCAAUGGAGUGGCCACAGGGGACAAGAAGGACUAUGCAAACAGCUAGUGCUGAUUCAUCCUGAGGUCUGCAGACAGAAAAGACAACUGGUCAGGCUCUUCUCUGGACACUCCCGGCUGUUAGGCCAUGAUCCCACAGAUCUGCUCAGGAAGGUCCAUGACUGGUGGGAUGGUUUGUAUAUUC